ACAUGCAAGUCGAACGCGGAAGAAUCUCUCGGGAUUUUGAAGAGUGGCGAACGGGUGAGGAACACGUAAGGAUCUACCUUUCGGUUGGGGAUAACUUCUGGAAACGGGAGCUAAUACCCAAUAUGCUGUGGAGUGAAAGAAUUUCGCCGAAAGACGAUCUUGCGUCUGAUUAGCUAGUUGGGGUAGUAAUGGCACACCAAGGCGACGAUCAGUAGCUGGUCUGAGAGGAUGGACAGCCACAUUGGGACUGAGACACGGCCCAGACUCC
rnacentral:rRNA from 1 species